GACGAACGCUGGCGGCGUGCUUAACACAUGCAAGUCGAACGGAAAGGCCCUGCUUUUGUGGGGUGCUCGAGUGGCGAACGGGUGAGUAACACGUGAGUAACCUGCCCUUGACUUUGGGAUAACUUCAGGAAACUGGGGCUAAUACCGGAUAGGAGCUCCUGCUGCAUGGUGGGGGUUGGAAAGUUUCGGCGGUUGGGGAUGGACUCGCGGCUUAUGAGCUUGUUGGUGGGGUAGUGGCUUACCAAGGCUUUGACGGGUAGCCGGCCUGAGAGGGUGACCGGCCACAUUGGGACUGGGAUACGGCCCAGAGUCCUACGGGAGGCAGCAGUGGGGAAUAUUGCACGAUGGGCGGAAGCCUGAUGCAGCAACGCCGCGUGCGGGAUGACGGCCUUCGGGUUGUAAACCGCUUUCGCCUGUGACGAAGCGUGAGUGACGGUAAUGGGUAAAGAAGCACCGGCUAACUACGUG
rnacentral:rRNA from 1 species